UGAGCCAAGGAUGACUUGCCG
rnacentral:miRNA from 11 species